GCGCCCGUAGCUCAACUGGAUAGAGCACCAGACUUCGAAUCUGGGGGCUGGGAGUUCGAACCUCUCCGGGCGCGCAA
rnacentral:tRNA from 1 species